rnacentral:tRNA from 1 species
GGGGAAUUAGCUCAGCAGGUUAGAGUGCUACGCUCACAUCGUAGAGGCCGUAGGUUCGAGUCCUACAUUCCCCACCA